GCGAACGUUUGCGGCGGGCCUAACACAUGCAAGUCGAACGGUAGUCCCUUCGGGGACGAGAGUGGCGCACGGGUGCGUAACACGUGGGUAAUCUACCUAUCAGUUGGGGAUAACCUUGGGAAACCAGGGCUAAUACCCGGUACGACUCAGCGGGGUGCGCCCUGUUGAGAGAAAGACCCGCAAGGGUUGCUGAGAGAUGAGCUCGCGCCCCAUCAGCUAGUUGGAGAGGUAAUGGCUCACCAAGGCGAAGACGGGUAGCUGGUCUGAGAGGAUGAUCAGCCACACUGGAACUGAGACACGGUCCAGACUCCUACGGGAGGCAGCAGUGGGGAAUAUUGCGCAAUGGGCGAAAGCCUGACGCAGCCACGCCGCGUGAGCGAUGAAGGAUUUCGGUUCGUAAAGCUCUGUGGGGAGAGAAGAAGAAAGUUGGUGAAGAGCCAACCAUGACGGUAUCUCCUUAGCAAGCACCGGCUAACUCUGU
rnacentral:rRNA from 1 species